GAAAACAUUAACAAGAGAACAUGGACAAUGGUUCAGAAAUCGCCCCUUUUACUCCACUGCAAAUGGGGAAAUAGCAGCCUGACAGGCUGGAUCAUGUAGCCAGAAGGAGUCUCAUGAGGUUUAGCAAAGGAGAAUGCUGAGUCCUGCACAUGACGAGGAAUAGACUUAUGAAGUUUAACAACAGGAAAUACAAAGUCCUGGACAGCAGGAGAAACAACCCUAUGCACCAGCAUAAACUCAGGGCCAAGUGGCUGGUGAGACGCUCUGCAGACAAAGGCCUGGGAAUCCUGAUGGAGAAGUUUGAAAUGAGCCAACAGUGCACCUGUGUCACACAAGCUAUAUUAAGAAAGCUGUUUCCAGCAGGUUAGGGAAGGUAAUCAGCACUGGUAAGACAGAUCACAGAAUAAGCUGAGUUGGAAGGGACUCAUAAGGAUCAUUGAAUCUAACCAUUAGCACUGCACAGGACCAUCCACAAGAGUAACAACAUGUGCCUGAGAGUAUCUGGUAUGCUGUGCCUGGUUUUGGGCUCCUCAGUGCAAGAAGGACAUGGACAUACUAUAGUGCACCCAGCAAAGGGUCACAAAGAUGAUUCAGGAAUUGGAGCAUGUAUUAUCAUAGCAAUAAAAUAGUAUCCAAUUUACAUAAUAUUUCUUUUAUUUGUUUCAUUUGCUUUUAUGUAUUGGUUUUGUUUAUUAUUUAUUUUCUAUCUAUUUAUUUUCUUUCUAAUUUCACUUGCAAAAUAAAUUUUAUGAUGUAAAACAGUAACAUAUCAAACCAAAGCAAUAGGCAUAAGUAGAAAUAACAAUGAUUUUGGUUUUACCUUUGUUCUUUUGAGAGCUAGUUUGGCUGAGGAGUGUGAUAACACCUCUUUUUUUAUUUAAAAAAAUGGUGAAAAAUUUCAAUGUUUUGAAAAACGAAGAGGGUUGGUAUGCCUUCAGAACUACCAUCACAUAAUCUGAAAUGUACCACACAGCAUUUGAUUUUAGAUUGAGCUCUUUUACAUGAAGAUUGAGCACACAAUAAAAUAAUUAUGAAAAUGAAUAUUCCAUUUUUGUGAUAUAUAGUUUAAGAAUAAUUUUAAAUCAUAUAAAUAUAUUGCUUUCUUUGGAUGUCUCUGUUGGAAAAGUGUUUCAGCAAAAGAUGGGGUAGAGUUAGGAAAAUGAGAGGUGUAGCAAACUCUUAAAUAUACUUUCCACAUUAAGCAAAUAAAAUACAAGUUUGUUGUGCCCUAAAACCAAAUAUCAAGCUUUGUCUUUGCCCUCAGAUGGCAGCUAAAAAGGAAACACAGAGUUUUAAGACGCAGGAUGCUACAGGCACAUCUCAAGCUUAUCAAAAGAGAAUCUUUGUCCUCCUCUGUCUCACCUCAGUCUGCGGAGAAAUUGCCUGAGUUUUAUGGUGACAGUAGGAAGUAGCCAGUGGAUGCAAUUGUGUUUCCACCUCCAUUUGCUCAAGCACCACUCCUGGAUACAGGAU